CCCUCGAUAGCUCAACUGGCGAGAGCAACCGGCUUUUAACCGGAAGGCUGCGCGUUCAAAUCGCGCUCGAGGGACCA
rnacentral:tRNA from 1 species